GCAGGAAGCUGUGGAAAUAUUUUAAUGGGAAGACCUCAACAUUUGUAGUAAAUUUGAAGGCAACAUCAUCUGCUCACAAUAAGGAGGGAGAGUGGGGUGAAUGUGAGUCUUUCAGAAUGGGGAACAUUUGAGUUAUGUGGGAGUCAUGAUUGAGGUUUAGCACAAAAUGAAUAAGUAGACUGCUGAAGAGCAUAAGAGUAUGGAUUUGUAGGGGACCCAGUCAGGAUUAUUUCAUCACAAUGGUAGGUAGAUAAAGGUAGAGGUCUAAGAGGAAGAAGGUAGGGUGAUCAUGUUUAGCACCAGAUAGCUCUGAGUCUGGGCUUUUGAAGGUGUGGCCUUUCAGAUUGCUGUUAGGUUUAAGGUUUGGUCAUAAUGGUCAGGUGGCUGAAGAGGCAUUUAGAUGUUCAUAGUAGUCAGCAUGGUGGAGGGUUUUCAGCAUCAAAAUGUCAGGUGAACAUGGACAUUGAAAUCUCUAUGAUCAUCACUCAGAACUGUGAUGGAGAAAAAUACUGAGCAGAUUACUCUAGUUCAGGUGGAAGAGGAUUGUGAAUAUUAAUGAAAGUGGUCCAUGGUUGGUGAGGACCUUCAGUAGAGGCAUCAUUGCUGAACGAUGAGAUCAGAGCGAUAUUCUGGAAGCAGGACUGAGGACCAAACAGGGAGAAAGAUUUUCUUCUCUUCUGCCAUCCUGCCCAGGUUGCCUAUAACCACCUUGACCAUGUUGCAAUUCAGAUGUAUAAUUAAGGUAAUAAUAAUGGAUACUUUUGUUA
rnacentral:lncRNA from 1 species